UGCUGGUCUAAGUAUGUCUCUGUAAGAAUGAAGACGGGACUGGGGAGACAUCUCAGAUAGUGAACGGCUUUUCAUACAAGCAGAAGACCUGAGUUUAAUUCUCUGAACUCCUGUAAACAGUGGCAUCAUUGCUGUACUUGUAAUCCCAGUGCUGGAAAGGCUGAGACUUGUGGACCAAUGGGACUCCCUGGACAGUCACCCUGGUGAGACAGUGAAUCUCAGGUGAAAAUGAGAGACCCUGUCUCAAAGAGCAAGCAGCAGAACUCCCCACCACAACUUACCUAGGAAUGAGUGUCC
rnacentral:lncRNA from 1 species